rnacentral:rRNA from 1 species
AGAGUUUGAUCAUGGCUCAGAAUCAACGCUGGCGGCGUGCCUAACACAUGCAAGUCGAACGCGAAAGCCCCGCAAGGGGUAAGUAGAGUGGCAAACGGGUGAGUAACACGUGGGUGACCUGCCUUCGAGUGGGGGAUAACGUCCCGAAAGGGGCGCUAAUACCGCAUGAACAUCCUGCGUUUGAAAACGCGGUGAUUAAAGCCGGGGAUCGCAAGACCUGGCGCUUGAAGAGGGGCCCGCGGCCGAUUAGCUAGUUGGUGAGGUAACGGCUCACCAAGGCGACGAUCGGUAUCCGGCCUGAGAGGGCGGACGGACACACUGGGACUGAGACACGGCCCAGACUCCUACGGGAGGCAGCAGUGGGGAAUUGUUCGCAAUGGGCGCAAGCCUGACGACGCAACGCCGCGUGGAGGACGAAGAUCUUCGGGUCGUAAACUCCUUUCGAUCGGGAAGAACAGUUUCCGGGUGAACAAUCCGGCGAUUUGACGGUACCGAGAGAAGAAGCCCCGGCUAACU